GCUCUUGCUGCUUUGCUUUUAGUUCUUUCACUGAAGGGUACCUCCGCCGCACACCACCACCACCACCAACUCAAGUCUCUCCAUUUUUCACUUUACCAACAUGAAACCAUCAACAAAACUGGAUAUAUCAUAGUGAAUGGUGUUGCAGGAGCAAACCUCAGUCAACUCGCACUGCCUUUCGGUACCUUAUUUGUUUUCCAGGAUCCCAUGACAGUUACAGCCAACCGAACUUGUCGUUGGCAUCGCAGAAGGAAAUUCCAUAACAUCUAGUCUCGAUGGGCUAACGAGCAUUUCUACUGCUAAGAUCACUUUAAGUUUGAAAAACCACAAAGGGUCAAUCUCCAUCGUUGGAGGUACGCAUAAUGUCAAACCUGCUGAUCAUCCUGUUGUGGGAGGCACUGGUGACUUCAUGUUUGUACAAGGCUAUGUAACAUCUUCUCCGGUGGAUCUCGUUGGCCUCACUGUUGUCUACAGGAUUGAAUUUCACCUGUACUGGCCUCCAUAUGCAGA
rnacentral:misc_RNA from 1 species